AUGUUGAAAAAUAUGGCUCAAAUUUUAAAAUUUAUUUAUGUUUUGAUAAUCUCUAUUUCUUUGUUUUCUGUAACCAGUGCUGGCAGAAGACCAUUUAAUCCAUUCAAUUGUCAAACUAUCAUUGAUUGUAAAUACAAAGCAUGUCAUCGUCCUUUAACACGAAAGUGCAUUGAUGAGAAAUGUGUGUGCAUGUAAGAGGAACAAUUAAGUUGAAAGAUAAUUAUGUGUUACUUUAAAGGGGCAGAUUGGAAGGAUUAGUAACUUCAAGAACGAAAAUUCAAAUGACCUAUAUUUGCAGGGACGAAAGACAUAUUUAAACCUAAAAUUAUUGUCGCAUUCAUUCACUCAUAAGAGAUUAUGAAAGCAACAUCGUCACUAUAGAAUUAUACAGUUUAUCCAUAAACAAUGUCAAUUCUUGAUUAUGUUGACUAAUUAUUUAUUUCGGUUAUGAAUUCAUCGUAAGAUUGCCGAGUGAUAUAAAA